rnacentral:rRNA from 1 species
GAUCCUGGCUCAGGAUGAACGCUAGCGGCAGGCCUAACACAUGCAAGUCGAGGGGCAGCACGGUGUAGCAAUACACUGGUGGCGACCGGCGCACGGGUGCGUAACGCGUAUGCAACCUACCCAUAACAGGGGGAUAACACUGAGAAAUUGGUACUAAUUCCCCAUAAUAUUCGGAGAGGCAUCUCUCCGGGUUGAAAACUCCGGUGGUUAUAGAUGGACAUGCGUUGUAUUAGCUAGUUGGUG